GACGAACGCUGGCGGCGUGCCUAAUACAUGCAAGUAGAACGCUGAAGAGAGGAGCUUGCUCUUCUUGGCUGAGUUGCGAACGGGUGAGUAACGCGUAGGUAACCUGCCUUGUAGCGGGGGAUAACUAUUGGAAACGAUAGCUAAUACCGCAUAACAAUGGAUGACACAUGUCAUUUAUUUGAAAGGGGCAAUUGCUCCACUACAAGAUGGACCUGCGUUGUAUUAGCUAGUAGGUGAGGUAAUGGCUCACCUAGGCGACGAUACAUAGCCGACCUGAGAGGGUGAUCGGCCACACUGGGACUGAGACACGGCCCAGACUCCUACGGGAGGCAGCAGUAGGGAAUCUUCGGCAAUGGGGGCAACCCUGACCGAGCAACGCCGCGUGAGUGAAGAAGGUUUUCGGAUCGUAAAGCUCUGUUGUAAGUCAAGAACGGGUGUGAGAGUGGUAAGUUCACACUGUGACGGUAGCUUACCAGAAAGGGACGGCUAACUACGUG
rnacentral:rRNA from 1 species